CCUACGGGAGGCAGCAGUAGGGAAUCUUCCACAAUGGACGAAAGUCUGAUGGAGCAACGCCGCGUGAGUGAAGAAGGUUUUCGGAUCGUAAAGCUCUGUUGUUGGUGAAGAAGGAUAGAGGUAGUAACUGGCCUUUAUUUGACGGUAAUCAACCAGAAAGUCACGGCUAACUACGUGCCAGCAGCCGCGGUAAUACGUAGGUGGCAAGCGUUGUCCGGAUUUAUUGGGCGUAAAGCGAGCGCAGGCGGAAGAAUAAGUCUGAUGUGAAAGCCCUCGGCUUAACCGAGGAACUGCAUCGGAAACUGUUUUUCUUGAGUGCAGAAGAGGAGAGUGGAACUCCAUGUGUAGCGGUGGAAUGCGUAGAUAUAUGGAAGAACACCAGUGGCGAAGGCGGCUCUCUGGUCUGCAACUGACGCUGAGGCUCGAAAGCAUGGGUAGCGAACAGGAUUAGAUACCCUAGUAGUC
rnacentral:rRNA from 1 species